rnacentral:lncRNA from 1 species
CACCAGCUGCCAAUUCCUCAUCUCCUCCACCACCAGUAUCCAAUCCUCCUACUAUUUCACCUCCACCACCAGUGUCUAAUCCACCAAAAAGUUCACCACCUCCACCACCAGUGUCUAAACCACCAACAACUUCACCACCACCAUCACCACCAGCGUCUAAUCCACCAACAAGUUCAUCACCACCAGCGUCUAGUCCACCAACAAGUUCACCACCACCCGCGUCUAAUCCACCAACAAGUUCACCACCACCAUCACCACCAGCGUCUAGUCCACCAACAAUUUCACCACCACCACCAGUGUCCAAUCCACCAACAAGAUCAC